ensembl:lncRNA
ACCAUACACUGAGAACUGUAGAAUAUGCAAGGCACAUGGAACUUAUUUUCUUACGUAUAAAAGCGUGUAUAUGCUCCUUAUACAUCUGUCCUAAUGCUUUCCAACAGUCCUCACUCUAAGCCUCACCAAGACCCAGAUGAGGAAACAAAGGCACAGAGGGAUAAACUCAGAGCAGGAAGACAGCAAGGAAUAGCAGUGAAAAGCAUGGUGCUUAAUCCAACCCCUUACUCACUGCUGAGACCUGGAAAUGUGUUCAUCAGCUACAAAACAGGAGAGAUGAUAACUCAUUAUGUAUAUGUGAUGAUAAACAGAGACAAUAUAUUGAAGAGCUUAUAUGAGUGGCAGACACGGGACAUGCUUCCCUGUGGCUGGCCAGCGUGUCAUCUUCUCCAUGUGUCCAGAGAAAAGCUUUGCAAAUCAACCUCUCGAUGAAUGAUGACGGCACCAGUGAAAUCAGGGGAGGCAGAAAAUCAUGUGACAGCUGCACCCUCUAAAGGCUUCUCAAAUGACAGAGCUCAAUGAAUAUAGAAGGGAAAAGUAUGAGGAUGACCUAUGAGCACAGGGUGGACAGUCUCUGCGGUGGGCAGGCAUUAGCAAAGGAGAGACCUUCUGUAUUAUGCAGUCUAGAGUGGAAUUUUCCAGAGGCUACAUGAUGAGUGACGUCACGACAGAUUGAGUACAGAGCCAACUAUGAGAAUCCAGCUGCCUUCUAUUAAGGUACCCUUUCUGUGGAUACCUUCAAGUUCCAGCACCAAAUAUGAAGGCGACUGCCAUCACCAGCUCCCACCCCUACAUGAGGUCAAAUCCCUGGAUGGCAUAUAACACACUAGAGCAAUUAAGAGGAUCUAACUAAAGGUGGGGAAGGAAAAAUGUGUGUACAGAGACAGGAAGUCAUGGACACAGUUAUAUUGAAAGAUACAAUGAC